rnacentral:rRNA from 1 species
CACCGACCAGCUAGCCCUAGACAUUAAAUUCAACAAGACAAUAUUAAUAACCCUUAAAACACCCAACUAAACUAAUUAAACCAUUUUUACCCCCAGUACGGGCGACGGAAAAGGACAAACGGAGCUAUAGACAGAGUACCGCAAGGGAACGCUGAAAAAGAGAUGAAAAAGCCCAGUUAAGACCAUCAAAGCAAAGAUUAACCCUUGUACCUUUUGCAUCAUGAUUUAGCCAGAAACUUCAAGCAAAGAGCCCUUUAGUUUGAAACCCCGAAACUGCGUGAGCUACUCCAAGACAGCCUAUUAAAUAGGGCACACCCGUCUCUGUGGCAAAAGAGUGGGAAGAGCUUCGAGUAGAGGUGACAGACCUACCGAACCCAGUUAUAGCUGGUUGCCUAGGAAUUGAAUAUAAGUUCAGCCUCCGAGCUUCUUAAUUUCACAAAACUAAACAACUAAUAACAAGAAACCCAGAGAGUUAGUCAAAGGGGGUACAGCCCCUUUGAAACAGAUACAACUUUUAUAGGCGGGUAAAGAUCACACUAUUUAAGGAAACAUGCCCUAGUGGGCCUAAAAGCAGCCACCCUGAUAGAAAGCGUUAUAGCUCAAGCAUUCUCCAAUCCUAAAAUCCAGGUAACUUUAUCUAAACCCCCUUACAUUACUAGGCCCUUCUAUACCCAUAGAAGUGACUAUGCUAAUAUGAGUAAUAAGAAAGGCACUACUUUUCUCACAGCAUGUGUGUAAAUCGGAACGGACCACCCACCGAAAAUUAACGAACCCAAUCCCAGAGGGCACUGAAAAAAACCUAAAACUCCAGAAAAACCUUCAAACGCAAUCGUUAACCCCACACAGGUAUGCACCUAAUGAAAGACUAAAAGAUAAAAGAAGGAACUCGGCAAAACCUGCUCAAGCCUCGCCUGUUUACCAAAAACAUCGCCUCUUGUACUCCAAAAAUAAGAGGUCCUGCCUGCCCAGUGACACAGAUUUAACGGCCGCGGUAUUUUGACCGUGCUAAGGUAGCGCAAUCACUUGUCUUUUAAAUGAAGACCCGUAUGAAUGGCAAAACGAGGGCUUAACUGUCUCCUUUAUCCAGUCAAUGAAAUUGAUCUUCCCGUGCAGAAGCGGGAAUAUUCCCAUAAGACGAGAAGACCCUAUGGAGCUUCAGACCACGUAUAGCUCGUCUGGAAACUCUUAAACAAAAGAACACACCUAACGACCCCUGUACUCAUGUCUUCGGUUGGGGCGACCGCGGGGAAUUACAAAACCCCCAUGUGGAAUAAGAGCACCUUCCCCUACCCCUACUCUUAAAAACCAGAGAGACACCUCUAACUAACAGAACUUCUGACCUUAAAUGAUCCGGCUUGCCGAUCAACGAACCAAGUUACCCUAGGGAUAACAGCGCAAUCCUCUUUUAGAGCCCAUAUCGACAAGGGGGUUUACGACCUCGAUGUUGGAUCAGGACAUCCUAAUGGCGCAGCAGCUAUUAAGGGUUCGUUUGUUCAACGAUUAAAGUCCUACGUGAUCUGAGUUCAGACCGGAGAAAUCCAGGUCAGUUUCUAUCUAUGCUUUGAUCUUUUCUAGUACGAAAGGACCGAAAAGAAGGGGCCCAUGCUCUCAGUAAGCCUCCCCCCUACCUAGUGAAAAAAUCUAAACUAGACAAAGGGGCACCCCUCCCCCGUCACAGAAAAUGACAU